CACGUAGGGCGCAAGCGUUGUCCGGAAUUAUUGGGCGUAAAGAGCUCGUAGGCGGUCUGUUGCGUCCGCUGUGAAAACUCGGGGCUUAACCCCGAGCCUGCAGUGGAUACGGGCAGACUAGAGGUAGGUAGGGGAGAAUGGAAUUCCCGGUGUAGCGGUGAAAUGCGCAGAUAUGGGGGAGAACACUCGUGGCGAAGGCGGCCAGCUAGACCAGUUCUGACACUGAGGCGCGAUAGCGUGGGGAGCAAACAGG
rnacentral:rRNA from 1 species